UCCAGCCUCGGGCCUUGGAAUUUGGAUCCUCAUAGCUUAAAUUCCUAAGUGUCUGGUGGGCUGUCAGUCAUCCAUGAUCAAAGGCUUAGGUGGGGUAUGUUGCAAGUACCACAGACCUGAGAGUUAGAGUGACCCAGGAAUACCGUUCUUUUUUCCUGAAGGACAGCAGCUGCUUUAACAAGCAAACCCAGAAAGCAAUUGACUCAGAGUAGUGGGUGCUUUCUUUCUCUCAUUCACCCUCAAGUCUACAUCUGAGGUCGCUGUUCUGGUAGGGAUGGAAACGGGUGCGCAUGCGCAGGCUUUUAUUUCGUAGCUGUUUUAUCUUCCUGUCUCAGACAAUUAUCUGAGUCUCUGACCAGACAGUCCUGGACUGGUGCUCUGGAUAACUCUAGACUUCUAGGAAAGGUUGAGAAGUGUGAUCAACCGAAGUGCUGCGUACAGAGCGUGACUGUGACAGUCCCAUGAUCAGCAGCAGCAAUCUGUCUAUGUGAUUGAUGAUCAGGUACGCCCCCAUUGGCAUCUUGUUCCUGGUGGCCGGCAAGAUUGUGGAGAUGAAAGACAUCCGCCAGCUCUUCAUCGGCCUCGGCAAAUACAUCGUGUGCUGCCUGCUGGGCCACGCCAUCCACGGGCUCCUGGUUCUGCCUCUCAUCUACUUCCUCUUUACCCGCAAAAACCCUUAUCGAUUCCUGUGGGGCAUCGUGACACCCCUGGCUACAGCU
rnacentral:lncRNA from 1 species